rnacentral:rRNA from 1 species
GAUCCUGGGCUCAGGAUGAACGCUAGCUACAGGCUUAACACAUGCAAGUCGAGGGGCAGCAUUUCAGUUUGCUUGCAAACUGGAGAUGGCGACCGGCGCACGGGUGAGUAACACGUAUCCAACCUGCCGAUAACUCGGGGAUAGCCUUUCGAAAGAAAGAUUAAUACCCGAUGGCAUAAUUAGACCGCAUGGUCUUAUUAUUAAAGAAUUUCGGUUAUCGAUGGGGAUGCGUUCCAUUAGG